rnacentral:rRNA from 1 species
CAGCAGCCGCGGUAAUACAGAGGGUGCAAGCGUUAAUCGGAAUUACUGGGCGUAAAGCGCGCGUAGGUGGUUCGCCAAGUUGGAUGUGAAAUCCCCGGGCUCAACCUGGGAACUGCAUCCAAAACUGGCGAGCUAGAGUAUGGUGGAGGGUGGUGGAAUUUCCUGUGUAGCGGUGAAAUGCGUAGAUAUAGGAAGGAACAUCAGUGGCGAAGGCGACCACCUGGACUGAUACUGACACUGAGGUGCGAAAGCGUGGGGAGCAAACAGGAUUAGAGACCCCCGUAGUCCCUGUCUCUUAUAA